CCUACGGGGGGCUGCAGUGGGGAAUAUUGCGCAAUGGGGGAAACCCUGACGCAGCGACGCCGCGUGAGCGAAGAAGGCCUUCGGGUUGUAAAGCUCUGUUCUAAGGGACGAAGGACUUGGCUGUGAAUAAUGGUCAAGGGUGACGGUACCUUAGGAGAAAGCCCCGGCUAACUACGUGCCAGCAGCCGCGGUAAUACGUAGGGGGCGAGCGUUGUCCGGAAUUACUGGGCGUAAAGAGCGUGUAGGCGGGUGUUUAAGUCAGGUGUGAAAGACCGGGGCUCAACUCCGGGGUUGCACUUGAAACUGGGCAUCUUGAGGGCAGGAGAGGAAAGUGGAAUUCCUGGUGUAGCGGUGAAAUGCGUAGAUAUCAGGAGGAACACCGGUGGCGAAGGCGGCUUUCUGGACUGACCCUGACGCUGAGACGCGAAAGCGUGGGGAGCAAACAGGCUUAGAUACCCUAGUAGUC
rnacentral:rRNA from 1 species